GCCCUGGUAGCUCAGUUGGUAGAGCAGCGGACUGAAAAUUCGCGUGUCGCAGGUUCGAUUCCUGCCCUCGGCACCA
rnacentral:tRNA from 1 species